rfam:Schistosoma haematobium scaffold761_12, whole genome shotgun sequence.
ACCCAGCUGACGAGUCCCAAAUAGGACGAAACGCGCGUGCUGGAU